CCUACGGGAGGCAGCAGUGGGGAAUAUUGCACAAUGGGGGAAACCCUGAUGCAGCAACGCCGCGUGAGUGAAGAAGUCAUUCGUGAUGUAAAGCUCUAUCAGCAGGGAAGAAAAUGACGGUACCUGAGUAAGAAGCCCCGGCUAACUACGUGCCAGCAGCCGCGGUAAUACGUAGGGGGCAAGCGUUAUCCGGAUUUACUGGGUGUAAAGGGAGCGUAGACGGAUUGAUAAGUUAGAGGUGAAAUGUCCGAGCUUAACUCGGGAACUGCCUCUAAUACUGUUGAUCUAGAGAGUAGAUGCGGUAG
rnacentral:rRNA from 1 species